UCCAACCAUCUUCGUCUUUCGUCUGGUGACGCUGUAUGUAGAUUGGCCUAUCAAAUAAGGCGCCGUACAUGGAGCGUUCUUUCUCGCCGUCUGUACGUGACCCUUACCGGGCACAUAUAUACCGUGCCUUCUUAUUCCUGAAAGAGUCAGAGGCUAAAAGCCGUGCCGUUCUCGCACACGUAUAUAAUUUAUUGCAAAGCGUACAUAUAGCGGUUAAAGUCAGUGAUUAAUAUUGAAUCGGACGCCGGAAGCACAAUGAAGGCGCACUACAUAAUCGCUGCGAUCGCACUUGUUGUCCUUUCAGACAUCGCAAAGUCGUCUACGAUCGGAAAUGAAGUGCCGCGCCGUCCCCUGUGCCCGUUGUUCCAGAUCCCCGAAGGCGGCUGCACCGAACCGCCCAGCAGCGUGACAUGUGAGGACCUUCGCUGUGAACAAUACAACCAAACGUGCUGCAGCAGGGCCUGCGGUGCAAAGUUCUGCUUCGGCGUACAGCUCGACGAUGAUUAGACUUACAGAAGUCGUUAACAAUUCUGUUGACUUUCUGAUAUCCUUAAUUGAUUUUUUGUGAAAAUUGAAAUUGGAUAUCAUGAGGGAUCUUUGCAAGGGUCGGCAUACAUAGUGUAAAGAGAACGCCAGUGCAAGACCUACAACACCACGUUGGUUGGGAGGCUGCAAAGCUGGGAGGCUGCAAACGUCGAUUUCCGGGACAGGCGCGCAUUAAAUGGUCAGGUGUUUAAAUGCGAUAAUUUAAGUGUGAUGUCGUAGUUGGAAAUAACGAGUGCACCUGGAAGAUGUGCACGUUAUGCUGCGUUAGUACGCCGUCUGCUCUGCUAGCCGAUGAAAAAACUGUACUGGCAAAUGUCUACUUCUGUUGUUUUUCAACAUUAUUGUGAUGCAAAAAUAAAGCAGUGUUUAGUUCA